rnacentral:rRNA from 1 species
GACGAACGCUGGCGGCGUGCCUAAUACAUGCAAGUCGAGCGAGACUCUUCGGAGUCUAGCGGCGGACGGGUGAGUAACACGUGGGCAACCUGCCUGUAAGACUGGGAUAACACCGGGAAACCGGUGCUAAUACCGGAUAAUCCUUUUCCUCUCAUGAGGUAAAGCUGAAAGUCGGUUUCGGCUGACACUUACAGAUGGGCCCGCGGCGCAUUAGCUAGUUGGUGAGGUAACGGCUCACCAAGGCGACGAUGCGUAGCCGACCUGAGAGGGUGAUCGGCCACACUGGGACUGAGACACGGCCCAGACUCCUACGGGAGGCAGCAGUAGGGAAUCUUCCACAAUGGACGAAAGUCUGAUGGAGCAACGCCGCGUGAGCGAUGAAGGCCUUCGGGUCGUAAAGCUCUGUUGUUAGGGAAGAACAAGUACCGGAGUAACUGCCGGUACCUUGACGGUACCUAACCAGAAAGCCACGGCUAACUACGUGCCAGCCGCCGCAGUAAAAC